rnacentral:lncRNA from 1 species
UUCAUAACAACAAAUACCUUCAUCCUUAAUCAUUUUAAUAACCAUACAUCAUCAAAUACUUACACAUCACUCAUUAGCAAAAUCAUCACUACAAACAUACAAAAUAACUAAAUCCCUAUACAUGCCAUAACUUAAACGUGUUUCGAUAUAAAAUACCGAGCAGUUGUAGUUGAUAGUGUGGACGAUCUCCGACUUCUUUAGGAUCCUUGAAGUAGCUUUGUAAUACUAUAAGAGAAAGAGAAAUAAAAGAAGUAAGCAUAAAGCUUAGUAAGUUUACUAGCAAAUAAAUAACAAUAUUUAACUUAAAUAAUUAAACUCAAUGUCUAUAUCUCUAGUUUACUCUUUAGUUAAUCUCAUACUAGUUCUCUUACUUGUUUACUUAGAAUAUUUGUGUGCAUAACUUACUCAAUCCUUGCUGCAUCGUUGAACAUCAAUUGAUAGUAUAAUAAGUUCUUAAGUCUUACAACUUACCUGAGCCUACCAUUUAUGCUUUAAACUGAACUUUCAUGAACAUGAUUCGUUUACAAGCCCGUUGAACUACAUUGGAAUAAUAAGGAUACUCGGGUCUCUUCUGAUAAUAACAUGCCAAAGCCAUGUCCCAGACAUGGUCUUACAUGGGAUGUUCUCGUGAUGGUGCCCAUGCCAUGUCCCAGACAUGGUCUUAUAGGGGACCUCUCAUCUCGGUGCCAACGUCAUGUCCCAGACAUGGUCUUACAUGGGACCUCUCGUCUCGGUGCCCAUGCCAUGUCCCAGACAUGGUCUUACAGGGGACCUCUCAUGAUCUUAAGGAUGCCAAUGCCAUGUCCCAGACAUGGUCUUACAUGGGAUCUCUUUACCCAAAUGUCAUGACAUUCGUAUCCAGUACCAUCCUUAUGUAUCAACGAGACUUUUAAAUUUUAAUUCUCUAUCAUUUCAUGCUUGGAUCAUCAUCAAAUAAAUUCAUAAAAUAAAUUCAUAAUUGUUGAAAAUUAACAGCAUUAAUAAUAAAUAUUGAAAUAUUGCAUUUAUUUACCGUAAACUUACCUCGGUACCAAUUAUAGCCAAAUUCACCAACUUAGUCUUCAACUUUAUUCUUCCCUUUGUCUAACCUCGAGUUUCGUACUUCUUGAUCAAUUGAAUUUAGAAGUUUUGAAACCCCUGAACCGUCGCUCUUUCUUUUUCUUCUUUCUCCCUUCUCUGUUUCGUUUUGCUCUCUGUUUCUUUCUUUCUCAUUUCUAUUCUUUCUUUUGUUAUAUAUAUAAUAUAAUAUAAUAUAAAAUAUUAAUA